UCCGGUUUGACACCGGCAGUAUCCUCAGAGUGCCCAACUUAAUGCUGGCAACUAAGGACAAGGGUUGCGCUCGUUGCCGGACUUAACCGAACAUCUUACGACACGAGCUGACGACAGCCAUGCAGCACCUGUCUCCCUGCCCCCGAAGGGGAAACUCCAUCUCUGGAGCUGUCAAGGGAUGUCAAGGCCAGGUAAGGUUCUGCGCGUUGCUUCGAAUUAAACCACAUACUCCACCGCUUGUGCGGGCCCCCGUCAAUUCCUUUGAGUUUUAGCCUUGCGACCGUACUCCCCAGGCGGGAUACUUAAUGCGUGAGCUCCGGUACCCAGAGGGUUAACACUCCGGACACCUAGUAUCCAUCGUUUACGGUGUGGACUAC
rnacentral:misc_RNA from 1 species